CCUACGGGUGGCAGCAGUGAGGAAUAUUGGUCAAUGGGCGUAAGCCUGAACCAGCCAAGUCGCGUGAGGGAUGAAGGUUCUAUGGAUAGUAAACCUCUUUUAUAAGGGAAUAAAGUGUGGGACGUGUCCUAUUUUGUAUGUACCUUAUGAAUAAGGAUCGGCUAACUCCGUGCCAGCAGUCGCGGUAAUACGGAGGAUCCGAGCUUUAUCCGGAUUUAUUGGGUUUAAAGGGUGCGUAGGCGGCCUUUUCAGUCAGCGGUGAAAGUCGGUGGCUCAACCAUAGAAUUGACGGUGAAACUGGGGGGCUUGAGUAUGUUUGAGGCAGGCGGAAUGCGUGGUGUAGCGGUGAAAUGCUUAGAUAUCACGCAGAACCCCGAUUGCGAAGGCAGCUUACCAAACUAUAUCUGACGUUGAGGCACGAAAGCGUGGGUAGCAAACAGGAUUAGAUACCCGGGUAGUC
rnacentral:rRNA from 1 species